rnacentral:rRNA from 1 species
CCUACGGGUGGCAGCAGUGGGGAAUAUUGCACAAUGGGGGAAACCCUGAUGCAGCGACGCCGCGUGAGUGAAGAAGUAAUUCGUUAUGUAAAGCUCUAUCAGCAGGGAAGAAAAUGACGGUACCUGAGUAAGAAGCCCCGGCUAACUACGUGCCAGCAGCCGCGGUAAUAAGUAGGGGGCAAGCGUUAUCCGGAUUUACUGGGUGUAAAGGGAGCGUAGACGGCAGUGCAAGUCUGGAGUGAAAGGCGGGGGCUCAACCCCCGGACUGCUCUGGAAACUGUACGGCUGGAGUGCAGGAGAGGUAAGUGGAAUUCCUAGUGUAGCGGUGAAAUGCGUAGAUAUUAGGAGGAACACCAGUGGCGAAGGCGGCUUACUGGACUGUAACUGACGUUGAGGCUCGAAAGCGUGGGGAGCAAACAGGAUUAGAUACCCCUGUAGUC